UACGUAGGGCGCAAGCGUUAUCCGGAAUUACUGGGCGUAAAGAGCUCGUAGGUGGUUUGUCGCGUUGUUCGUGAAAACUCACAGCUCAACUGUGGGCGUGCGGGCGAUACGGGCAGACUAGAGUACUGCAGGGGAGACUGGAAUUCCUGGUGUAGCGGUGGAAUGCGCAGAUAUCAGGAGGAACACCGGUGGCGAAGGCGGGUCUCUGGGCAGUAACUGACGCUGAGGAGCGAAAGCGUGGGGAGCGAACAGG
rnacentral:rRNA from 1 species